CACAGUGCAGCCAUGGUGAGUAUCACAGCUCCUUAUCCUGUGUAGAUAGACAUUUUAAACUAUUGUGAGGGAAACCUUUUAACUUUCAUGCCUUUUUUUGUUUUUCUGACUUAAACAGGCUGACAGGGGCAACAGGUAAGUCAGUAAGAGUCUCUGAAGUGCAGGAUGUUGAAUCUGCAGUGUCACUGACUGCUCUUCUUUUUUCAGGAGGGACGAGUUUCUGAAACAGCAACAGGCUUACAAAAUAAAUGCCUUCAACCUCAUUUGUAAGAUGCUGGAGUGGUGUAGGACAAGGGAAACAAAACUCUUGAUGGAUGAGAUGCUUCACAGCAUCUUCUUUCUGGCGAAAAUCUGCGUUGUCCCCUUUUCUCCAGAAGAAAUUAUCCCAGAUAAAGAGAUGCUGCAGAAGUUGUUGGCAUCAUAUCCUGAGCCUGUGAAGCAUCUGUCCAAGCUCCCCAGGAGGACUCCAUUCUCCUGUGUGCUGGAUAUGGUCAUUUUGAUGGGAAACCGUGAAAAUGAAGCCGCGGUGAAGACGAGUCUGCAAGAGAUUGCCAGGAGUCUGGAUGCAAUGUUUCCUGUCUCAACAACUAUCUGCAUCUCUCAGAAUACCAAGAAUUCGAUGAGACACUAUGGAGUGUCCAUGUCCACCACUGACCAGAAUCAGCGGGCGAUCAUGAUCACUGCCUCCUGCUGCGGCCCCUGGGAUGAUUAUGUAUCUGGUGCGGUCAUGACCUUCCUGUCAAACAAGAAAAAAAAAAAGGACACCCCGGAAUUUAAUGGGGCCAUUAAACUACCGGCGUACGUCAGAUGCCAGGCUUUCGACCUCCGCACCGGUAGCAUAAAGCCUGCCUGCCGAUCAUGUGGGGAAAUGUUUGGCCUGCCCACAAAUGAAACGCACGGCUGGCAUCAUGGUAACUGUGCCGAAGCUGAGAGUUUGAGCAACCUGCUUAAACAUGACAAAGAGGUGAAAGGAGAUGUGAGGAUCCCAUCUCCCAAAGGCACAGAGGAGAUCAGGAAGAGGGUCCAAACAGAUGUUUGUCAGAAGCUCAAGGAGAUUCUGGCAAAUAACCCUUAUCGCAUGACUUGGAGGGGUGAUUUCUACACUGCAUCAGCUAUGUAACUGUGAAGAGAGACAGAGAGAGAUGACUUGGCUCUUAUUAAAAUAUAAAUUUUACCUAUCUGCUUUGAUCUAACCCUUCGUCAUGAUGUUCACUACUCUGCCUCCUCACAGUCUUUGGGCUCAGCUGCAGUAAUGAUGACGAUGCUUUUAUUGCAGCAAUAGCAACAAACUCAGAGUGUUUCUUCUAAUGUUGCCUGCAGGACCUGUAAGACACAAUGUCAUCAACUGUACUGUAUAAAACUAUACUGUUAACCUUACUGUCUAAUGUGUGAAUAAAUGUCAUGCAAUUAAA
rnacentral:lncRNA from 1 species